rfam:Otolemur garnettii contig007902, whole genome shotgun sequence.
GUCAGACACAGUGGCACGCACCUGUGGUCCCAGCUACUCGGGAGGUUGAUUCAGGAGUAUCACUUGAGCUCAGGAGUUCUGGGUUGUAGUGUGCUAUGCUGAUUAAGUGUCCGCACUAAGUUUGGCAUCAAUAUGGUGACUUCCUAGGAGCAGGAGGCCACCAGGUUGCCUAGGGAGGGGUGAACCGGCCCAGGUCGGAAAAGGAGCAGGUCAAAACUCCCAUGUUGAUCAGUAGUGGGAUUGCACCUGUGAAUAGCCACUGCACUCUAGGCUGGGCAACAUAGGGAGACCCCGUCUCAA